GAAGACGACGACGUUGAUAGGCCGGGUGUGUAAGCGCAGCGAUGCGUUGAGCUAACCGGUACUAAUGAACCGUGAGGCUUAACCUUACAACGCCGAAGGUGUUU
rnacentral:rRNA from 1 species